GAUGAACGCUAGCGGCAAGCUUAAUACAUGCAAGUCGAGGGGCAGCAUGACUGUAGCAAUACAGUUGAUGGCGACCGGCAAACGGGUGCGGAACACGUACAGAACCUUCCUUCGAGCGGGGAAUAGCCCAGAGAAAUUUGGAUUAAUACCCCAUAGUAUUACGGAGUGGCAUCACUUUGUAAUUAAAGAUUUAUCACUUGAAGAUGGCUGUGCGGCUGAUUAGAUAGUUGGUGAGGUAACGGCUCACCAAGUCUGCGAUCAGUAACUGGUGUGAGAGCACGACCAGUCACACGGGCACUGAGACACGGGCCCGACUCCUACGGGAGGCAGCAGUAAGAAAUAUUGGUCAAUGGACGAAAGUCUGAACCAGCUAUGCCGCGUGGAGGAUGAAGGCCCUCUGGGUUGUAAACUUCUUUUAUAUGGGACGAAAAAGGGCCUUUCUAGGCCAACUGACGGUACCAUGUGAAUAAGCACCGGCUAACUCCGUGCCAGCAGCCGCAGUAAUAC
rnacentral:rRNA from 1 species